GAUGAACGCUGGCGGCGUGCCUAAUACAUGCAAGUCGAGCGAACAGACGAGGAGCUUGCUCCUCUGACGUUAGCGGCGGACGGGGGAGUAACACGUGGAUAACCUACCUAUAAGACUGGGAUAACUUCGGGAAACCGGAGCUAAUACCGGAUAAUAUAUUGAACCGCAUGGUUCAAUAGUGAAAGACGGUUUUGCUGUCACUUAUAGAUGGAUCCGCGCCGCAUUAGCUAGUUGGUAAGGUAACGGCUUACCAAGGCAACGAUGCGUAGCCGACCUGAGAGGGUGAUCGGCCACACUGGAACUGAGACACGGUCCAGACUCCUACGGGAGGCAGCAGUAGGGAAUCUUACGCAAUGGGCGAGAGCCUGACGGAGCAACGCCGCGUGAGUGAUGAAGGUCUUCGGAUCGUAAAACUCUGUUAUUAGGGAAGAACAAAUGUGUAAGUAACUAUGCACGUCUUGACGGUACCUAAUCAGAAAGCCACGGCUAACUACGUG
rnacentral:rRNA from 1 species